CCAUGGCGCAGUUGGUUAGCGCGUCUGACUGGCAGUCAGAAGGUCAAGGGUUCGAAUCCCUUUGGGUCC
rnacentral:tRNA from 1 species